GACGGAGGGUGCUAGCGUUGUUCGGAAUCACUGGGCGUAAAGGGCGCGUAGGCGGCCUCAGGUGUCGGAUGUGAAAGCCCGGGGCUCAACCCCGGGAGGUGCACUCCGAAACUCUGGGGCUGGAAGGUCGGAAGGAGGAGGGUGGAAUACCCAGUGUAGAGGUGAAAUUCGUAGAUAUUGGGUGGAACACCGGUGGCGGAAGGCGGUGGUCUGGGCCGGAACUGACGCUGAGGAGCGAAAGCGUGGGGAGCGAAACAGG
rnacentral:rRNA from 1 species